AUUGAACGCUGGCGGCAGGCCUAACACAUGCAAGUCGAACGAGUGGCGGACGGGUGAGUACUGUCUGGGACACUGCCUGAUGGAUGGGGAUAACUACUGGACACGGUAGCUAAUACCGCCUACCAUCAGCUGUGCCCAGAUGGGUUUAGCUUGUUGGUGGGGUAACGGCUCACCAAGGCGACGAUCCCUCGCUGGUCUGAGAGGAUGACCAGCCACACUGGAACUGAGACACGGGCCAGACUCCUACGGGAGGCAGCAGUGGGGAAUAUUGGACAAUGGGCGAAAGCCUGAUGCAGCCAGGCCGCGUGGAUGAAGAAGGCCUUCGGGUUGUAAAGUACUUUCAGCGGGGAGGCGUUACCAGCAGAAGAAGCACCGGCUAACUCCGUGCCAGCCGCCGCGGUAAUAC
rnacentral:rRNA from 1 species